UGUUAUCGACACACGGAAGAUAAACCAAUGCCGUAUCAUCGAGUCUCCUGCCAUUUACCCGUCACAGAAGAAAAAAAGCAGUGGGUAAAACGUCGACCCUCGGCACAUUGAAAUUGUAGAACACUUGAAAAAAAUAUAUUUCCCUGUUUUUUUCGGAUGUAAUUUCCUUCUUGUUGAACUGAAAGGCUACUUAGGAUGACUCAAGUGGCAAAGGCAUCUACAAGCCUAAGACAUCAAGUAGCUUAAUCUAAACAAGAAGAGAUCUUGGUGAAUUUGGAACUGCUACGUGGAUUUUAGAACUGCUGCGGUGAAGAAGAAAGUUUCAGCUCUUGAGGACAUUUUCAUUCCUGUGGCAAGACAGCGUCAUGAUGUGGCGGUUUAGUUUGACAAAACAAUUUUAAUAAAUAAAGUUCACGAAGUUGAUUUUCACAUUGA